rnacentral:pre_miRNA from 1 species
AAGUGGGCUCACCAUGCCGGUGUGCUCGCGCAGUUCGGCAUGGGUGCUCGCUACA